GAACGCUGGCGGCGUGCUUAACACAUGCAAGUCGAACGGUGAAGCGCCUUCCUUUUUGGUGGGUGUGGAUGAGUGGCGAACGGGUGAGUAACACGUGAGUAACCUGCCCCCUUCUUCUGGAUAACCGCAUGAAAGUGUGGCUAAUACGGGAUAUUCUGGGUCUGUCGCAUGAUGGGUCUGGGAAAGAUAUUGUUUCGGUGGGGGAUGGGCUCGCGGCCUAUCAGCUUGUUGGUGGGGUGAUGGCCUACCAAGGCGGUGACGGGUAGCCGGCCUGAGAGGGUGGACGGUCACACUGGGACUGAGACACGGCCCAGACUCCUACGGGAGGCAGCAGUGGGGAAUAUUGCACAAUGGGCGCAAGCCUGAUGCAGCGACGCCGCGUGAGGGAUGGAGGCCUUCGGGUUGUGAACCUCUUUCGCCAGUGAAGCAGGCCUGCCUCGUUUGUGGGUGGGUUGACGGUAGCUGGAGAAGAAGCGCCGGCUAACUACGUG
rnacentral:rRNA from 1 species